rnacentral:rRNA from 1 species
GAUGAACGCUGGCGACGUGCCUAAUACAUGCAAGUAGAACGCUGAAGCUUGGUGCUUGCCCCGAGCGGAUGAGUUGCGAACGGGUGAGUAACGCGUAGGUAACCUGCCUCUUAGCGGGGGAUAACUAUUGGAAACGAUAGCUAAUACCGCAUAAAAGUCGAUAUCGCAUGAUAUUGAUUUGAAAGGUGCAAUUGCAUCACUAAGAGAUGGACCUGCGUUGUAUUAGCUAGUUGGUGAGGUAACGGCUCACCAAGGCGACGAUACAUAGCCGACCUGAGAGGGUGAUCGGCCACACUGGGACUGAGACACGGCCCAGACUCCUACGGGAGGCAGCAGUAGGGAAUCUUCGGCAAUGGGGGCAACCCUGACCGAGCAACGCCGCGUGAGUGAAGAAGGUUUUCGGAUCGUAAAGCUCGGUUGUAAGAGAAGAACGAGUGUGAGAGUGGAAAGUUCACACUGUGACGGUAACUUACCAGAAAGGGACGGCUAACUACGUG